rnacentral:lncRNA from 10 species
GGAUACCUUGGAGACAUUGCAGGUUAAGUUGCAGAUCACCACGAUAAAGUAAAAAUACAUUAAAAGAUGGAAAAACUGCUUGGAAAUUAAGACUGGCCCUCUUCAGAUGCAACCAAGAAGCAAAGAGGAACCAAAAAGUGCAUGAUUCUUGGGUUUAUGACCUGUUAGUCUUCAUGGAUGAUACAUUUUAAGAAAGGAAAAAGCAAAUCUUCAAGCUAAACCUCUGCAGAUUGGCCAAGUUCUUUUAAACUCUAUCAUCUCCUGUUAACAUCUCUGAACUCUUAUGCUAUGUUGUUGGAAGAAUACAAACUGCUUAAUCUGUAUAGAUGGGAUGCAGAGAGGAAAGGGAAAGAAAGGAAAAUGGUAAACCACCAAUACAGAAACAGUGUGACUGGCAUGCUAAUUAGCCCACUGCAGAUAAGAAUGAGAGUACUGCGUAGUACACAGAGGUGCCUCAAUGUAGAGGAGAGCACUGCACGGUACACAGAGGGGCCUCAAUGUAGAGGAGAGCACUGCAUGGUACACAGAGGGGCCUCAAUGUAGAGGAUAGCACUGCACAGUACACAGAGGGGCCUCAAUGUAGAGAAGAGCACUGCACGGUACACAGAGGGGCCUCAAUGUAGAGGAUAGCACUGCGUGGUACACAGAGGGGCCUCAAUGUAGAGGAUAGCACUGCACGGCACACAGAGGGGCCUCAAUGUAGAGGACAGCACUGCACGGUACACAGAAGGGCCUCAGUGUAGAGGGGUUUCUGUGUUGUUCACACUGCAUCACUUCAUGUUUUUGGCUCAUUUGUGGUUUUAAUGCCUAUUGUUAUAUUUUCUUACCACUAAGAUGGUCAUCAGAAAGCUAAACAAAGAGUGUUAUACAGCCCAAGCUGUUCACUUGGCUGGAUCUCCUUACAAGCAUAACAUGUGAAAGUUCUGUUCUCGAACUGAAAGAAAAUCAUUUAUGAUUCUGUUCCAAUGCCUUCCUUCAUUUUUCAUUCAAAGCAUUAGAAUAACUGAUCCAUAUACUAUAAAUAGAAUGAGAAUGUUAUGUAUUUUUUCUUCCUUGAUAAGUACACAGGAGUUUUUGUUUUAUUUUAUUUUUACUAUUUCUGUGGCUUGAAAGGCCUACACUCUAAUUUAGUUGGAAUAGGGGACUAGUUCUCAAGGAGUUAUCAACAGGGCAACCAAACAGGUACCAGCAUCUAAGAAACUCAUAAUUUGGACCCCUGGCUCUGUGGAGAGCUGAAUUUCCAAGCACAGACUGCCCAUCUGCCACCAGCAGCUCCCGACUUGAUCCAAGGAUGGCUAAGGUCUCCUGGCCCUUCAGGUGCCGCGCUGCACCAUGCCAACGACAAUGGACCUGUGGAUAUAUGCAGGGAGUAAGAUGCAGGCAGGAAACGCGGUCAUCUCCUUCCCUCCGUCCCAUGCAUUUUCAAGGGGAGAAAACUGGUGCUAGUGAGAAGGAAUAAAAAAACUUACGUAGUACCAUCAUUUGUGGCCCUCUGAACUCCAUUUUUCAAUUUAACUUAAUUUUUCUCCUUAGGGAGCUAUUGAUGAAAAAAAGUGUUGAAAUCUUUCUCUAGUCAAUCAUUCCCCCCUUUUCUUAAGCUAAAAUAAAACCAGUUCCCG